rnacentral:rRNA from 1 species
CCUACGGGAGGCAGCAGUAAGGAAUAUUGGUCAAUGGACGGAAGUCUGAACCAGCCAUGCCGCGUGAAGGAAGACGGCCCUACGGGUUGUAAACUUCUUUUACCAGGGGAGAAAUCUGGUCAUUUAUGAUCAGUUGACGGUACCUGGGGAAUAAGCACCGGCUAACUCCGUGCCAGCAGCCGCGGUAAUACGGAGGGUGCAAGCGUUAUCCGGAAUCACUGGGUUUAAAGGGUGCGUAGGCGGUUUGAUAAGUCAGUGGUGAAAGCUCAUCGCUCAACGAUGAAAUUGCCAUUGAUACUGUCAGACUUGAAUUAGGAUAAGGUAAGCGGAAUGCGGCAUGUAGCGGUGAAAUGCAUAGAUAUGCCAUAGAACACCAAUUGCGAAGGCAGCUUACUGGGCCUUGAUUGACGCUGAGGCACGAAAGCGUGGGGAUCAAACAGGAUUAGAUACCCUGGUGGUCCACGCCCUAAACGAUGCUUACUCGUUGUAUGGAAUUCGUUUCAUGUGACCAAGCGAAAGCGAUAAGUAAGCCACCUGGGGAGUACGCCGGCAACGGUGAAACUCAAAGGAAUUGACGG